ensembl:snoRNA
GGGCCCCUAUGAUGUCCAGCACUGGGCUCCGAUGGAAGGCUGAGGACAUACUUCCUGGGACCUUUGACACCCAGGCUCUGAGGCAG